ACGGAGGGGGCUAGCGUUGUUCGGAAUUGCUGGGCGUAAAGCGCACGUAGGCGGCUUUGUAAGUUAGAGGUGAAAGCCCGGGGCUCAACUCCGGAAUUGCCUUUAAGACUGCAUCGCUAGAAUUGUGGAGAGGUAAGUGGAAUUCCGAGUGUAGAGGUGAAAUUCGUAGAUAUUCGGCGGAACACCAGUGGCGAAGGCGACUCACUGGCCCGAUACUGACGCUGAGGCGCGAAAGCGUGGGGAGCAAACAGGA
rnacentral:rRNA from 1 species